UACGAAGGGGGCAAGCGUUAUUCGGAAUCACUGGGCGUAAAGCGUGCGUAGGCUGUUCUGUAAGUUGGAAGUGAAAGCCCGGGGCUCAACCCCGGAAUUGCUUUCAAAACUACAGGACUCGAGUCCGGGAGAGGAUAGCGGAAUUUCCAGUGUAGUAGUGAAAUACGUAGAUAUUGGAAGGAACACCAGUGGCGCAAGCGGCUAUCUGGACCGGUACUGACGCUGAGGCACGAAAGCGUGGGGAUCAAACAGG
rnacentral:rRNA from 1 species